GUGAGGAAUAUUGCGCAAUGGAGGCAACUCUGACGCAGCCAUGCCGCGUGCAGGAAGAAGGCGCUACGCGUUGUAAACUGCUUUUAACCGGGAAGAAACCCCAGGACGUGUCCUGGGUUGACGGUACCGGAGGAAUAAGCACCGGCUAACUUCGUGCCAGCAGCCGCGGUAAUACGAAGGGUGCAAGCGUUAUCCGGAUUCAUUGGGUUUAAAGGGGGCGUCGGCGGAGCGUUAAGUCAGUGGUGAAAUCCUGCAGCUUAACUGUAGACUUGCCAUUGAUACUGGCGCUCUUGAGUGCGCUUGAAGUGGGCGUAAUGUGCCGUGUAGCGGUGAAAUGCUUAGAUAUGGCACAGAACACCAAUUGCGAAGGCAGCUCACUAAGGCGAUACUGACGCUGAGGCACGAAAGCGUGGGGAUCGAACAGGAUUAGAAACCCGGGUAGUCC
rnacentral:rRNA from 1 species